rnacentral:misc_RNA from 1 species
CACAAAUAUGAAGGCGGGCUGGAAACCUCUCGGGGUUACAGCCUUGCUGAAUUAUUCACCCUUGUCUUUUGCGUACUUCUUGUUUCCUUGGUGGGUUCGCCCACCACUAGGACAAACAUAAACCUUUUGUAAUUGCAAUCAGCGUCAGUAACAAAUUAAUAAUUA